UUAUCUUAGUGGCGCACGGGUGAGUAACACGUGAAUAACCUGACCCAAAGAGGGGGAUAACACCUGGAAACAGGUGCUAAUACCGCAUAAGACCACAAUGUCGCAUGACGAAGGGGUCAAAGAAAAUCGCUUUGGGAGGGGUUCGCGUCCCAUUAGGUAGUAGGCGGGGUAACGGCCCACCUAGCCGACGAUGGGUAGCCGAGCUGAGAGGCUGAUCGGCCACACUGGAACUGAGACACGGUCCAGACUCC
rnacentral:rRNA from 1 species